ACAGGCUUAACACAUGCAAGUCGAGGGGCAUCGGGAAGAAAGCUUGCUUUCUUUGUCGGCGACCGGCGCACGGGUGAGUAACACGUAUCCAACCUGCCCUUUACUCGGGGAUAGCCUUUCGAAAGAAAGAUUAAUACCCGAUAGCAUAAUGAUUCCGCAUGGUUUCAUUAUUAAAGGAUUCCGGUAAAGGAUGGGGAUGCGUUCCAUUAGGUUGUUGGUGAGGUAACGGCCCACCAAGCCUUCGAUGGAUAGGGGUUCUGAGAGGAAGGUCCCCCACAUUGGAACUGAGACACGGUCCAAACUCCUACGGGAGGCAGCAGUGAGGAAUAUUGGUCAAUGGGCGCUAGCCUGAACCAGCCA
rnacentral:rRNA from 1 species